rnacentral:rRNA from 1 species
AGCGAACGCUGGCGGCGUGCCUAACACAUGCAAGUCGAACGUGAAAGGGAGCAAUCCCAAGUAAAGUGGCGUACGGGUGAGUAACACGUAGGUAAUCUACCCCAGAAUCUGGAAUAACCGGCCGAAAGGCUGGCUAAUACUGGAUAGAGCGACGGAAUCCGUAAUUGGGUUUUUCGGGAAAGGGAGCCUGUAAAAAGGCCUUCGUUCUGGGAUGAGCCUGCGUCCCAUCAGCUAGUUGGUGAGGUAAAAGCUUACCAAGGCAAUGACGGGUAGCUGGUCUGAGAGGACGAUCAGCCACACUGGAACUGAAACACGGUCCAGACUCCUACGGGAGGCAGCAGUGGGAAAUCUUGCGCAAUGGACGAAAGUCUGACGCAGCAACGCCGCGGGAGUGAAGAAGGCCUUCGGGUUGUAAAGCUCUGUCGAGUGGGACGAAAAUGCUUGGAGUUCACAGCUCCAGGAACUGACGGUACCACUAAAGGAAGCACCGGCUAACUCCGUG